GGAGGGAACAGCUUUAACCAUUGCCCAUCUCCUGAGUGAGUGUAUCUCACCUGAGUGUCUGACAUGAAACAAGCUUGGGAUCCAUUCCACGAGCUGGCUAUGGUUUUCCUGGUGGUCACUGUUUGCUGCUUUCACUUAAUGAAAGACAAUCUGUAUUUUAGGAAGGAACAAGAAAAAGUUAAACUUUCAAACUGUUUAUAUAGGACAUCUAGCAAGGAAGAUAUUUCCAGGAGCACAAGAGCAGAGGCUUCUUCCACUGCUGCUGUUUCCAGGAAUACAGGGCUGGGUCUCAGGGUAGGCAUUCUCACAGGCAGCGCUGUUAACAUCUUAACAGAAAUGUAUCAUCAGGGCCACACUGGUGAUGAGACAGAAUUAGAGAUCGUACUUAGA
rnacentral:lncRNA from 1 species